GAUGAACGCUGGCGGCGUGCUUAACACAUGCAAGUCGAGCGAAGCACUUACCAUUGACUCUUCGAAAGAUUUGGUAAAUGACUGAGCGGCGGACGGGUGAGUAACGCGUGGGUAACCUGCCUCAUACAGGGGAAUAACAGUUAGAAAUGGCUGCUAAUGCCGCAUAAGCGCACAGUACCGCAUGGUACGGUGUGAAAAACCGAGGUGGUAUGAGAUGGACCCGCGUCUGAUUAGGUAGUUGGUGGGGUAACGGCCUACCAAGCCGACGAUCAGUAGCCGGCCUGAGAGGGUGAACGGCCACAUUGGGACUGAGACACGGCCCAGACUCCUACGGGAGGCAGCAGUGGGGAAUAUUGCACAAUGGGGGAAACCCUGAUGCAGCGACGCCGCGUGAAGGAAGAAGUAUCUCGGUAUGUAAACUUCUAUCA
rnacentral:rRNA from 1 species